UACGGGGGGGGCAAGCGUUUGUUCGGAAUUACUGGGCGUAAAGGGCGUGCAGGCGGUUUGUUAAGUGCAGGGUGAAAGCUCCCGGCUCAACUGGGAGAGGUCCUUGCAUACUGGCGAACUCGAGGGAGGCAGAGGAAAGUGGAAUUCCCGGUGUAGUGGUGAUAUGCGUAGAUAUCGGGAGGAACACCUGUGGCGAAGGCGGCUUUCUGGGCCUUACCUGACGCUGAGACGCGAAAGCGUGGGGAGCGAACCGG
rnacentral:rRNA from 1 species